rnacentral:tRNA from 1 species
GCCGGGGUGAUGAAAUCGGAAACCAUGAUGCCCUCAAAAGGCAUUGCCCGAAAGGGCUUGCGGGUUCGAGUCCCGUCCCCGGCA